rnacentral:rRNA from 1 species
AUUGAACGCUGGCGGAAUGCUUAACACAUGCAAGUCGAGCGGGCUGUAGCAAUACAGCUAGCGGCGGACGGGUGGGAAUACAUAGGAAUCUGCCUCAGAGUGGGGGAGUAGCCCGGGGAACCCGGACGUUAAUACCGCAUGAUGUCGUAAGACCAAAGACAGGGGACCGUAAGGCCUUGCGCUUUGUAGAUGAGCCUAUGUCGGAUUAGCUAGUUGGCGGGGUAAAAGGCCCACCCAAGGCGACGAUCCGUAGCUGGUCUGAGAGGACGAUCAGCCACACCGGAACUGAGACACGGUCCGG